rnacentral:lncRNA from 1 species
AAUUCAAGGGAUCGUGUUUUGAGUUCGGACUUCUGGUAAACAAUAGCUGUGAUAUAGAUAGAGAGUUACUCCGACACACUUAGAUUUUUCCUCUUUUCCUCCCCUCACUCCUCCGUUCACCAACCCUGUCUAUUGUGUCUAUGUCUUUAAGAACCUAAUCUCCUCCCCAGCCGUACCCGUUACAGUUAGCAAAUUAUUGUUAACUUUUGUUGCCUAUUUUAGAAACAAAAGAUUUUUGCCCAAUCUUUUCUUUUGACUUGGUGACUUACUUUUGAUUGAAACUCUAACAAUUUCGUCAUUUCCUUACAAAACAACAACAAUCACCCAGUAAAAUCCCACAAGUGGGGUUUGGGGAGGAUAGUAUGUACGCCAAACUUUACAUCUGCCCUGAGGGGAUAGAGAUGCUGUUUCCAUAGAACCUCGUUGGGGAGGAUAGUAUGUACGCAAACUUUACAUCUGCCCUGAGGGGAUAGAGAUGCUGUUUCCAUAGAACCUCGGCUCAAGAAGACGAAAAGAGACAAUAUAUUAGUACCAUCAACAAAAAACCAUAGAAGUAAUAACAUCACAAGUACCAAUAGGUAGAUGGAAAGCAAAAUUAAUACCCCCU